UUCAAGAUCACUGAAUUGUCAGCAUUCAUCGAACUGUCAGCAUUCGUCAAUAAUCCGUUCCUCGGACCUUGCCAGCAAUUGAGCUUAUUCACGAAUUGGGCGAUUCACCACUCGUGUUAUUUCCAACACGGCGCAACUUACCAGCCUAUCAGAGCCUAUGCCAAAUGUGUCUGGGAUGCCUCCUAAGACACUAAACCCACAUCGACCUCAUCUUUGUUUUCAUGGUUUGGGUUAUGCCAGUCGCCUAUAAGAUGCAGGAAUGGUUUUGGUUGAUUCGACACACAUGAUCGCAUGAGAGGUGCAAUGGAGAAGAGA